rnacentral:lncRNA from 1 species
AGUUUGGUUUUGGGUAGGAGAUAAGAGUCCAAACAUCCUAGGACUCUUCUAUAUGAUGCCGCCCACCUUCCUAUUUUUUGUGCGCCUCUCUCUUACACAUUAUAGGUAAAAAAGAGAAGAGCUUUCAUCACACAAAAUAAGUGGGGCAUGGGAUAUUUUGUGGCGUCCAAAAUCUGGUUGGGCAUGGGACUCCUUAUGGUGCA